AGUGAACGCUGGCGGUAGGCCUAACACAUGCAAGUCGAACGGCAGCACAGUAAGAGCUUGCUCUUACGGGUGGCGAGUGGCGGACGGGUGAGGAAUACAUCGGAAUCUACUUUUUCGUGGGGGAUAACGUAGGGAAACUUACGCUAAUACCGCAUACGACCUACGGGUGAAAGCAGGGGAUCUUCGGACCUUGCGCGAUUGAAUGAGCCGAUGUCGGAUUAGCUAGUUGGCGGGGUAAAGGCCCACCAAGGCGACGAUCCGUAGCUGGUCUGAGAGGAUGAUCAGACACACUGGAACUGAGACACGGUCCAGACUCCUACGGGAGGCAGCAGUGGGGAAUAUUGGACGAUGGGCGCAAGCCUGAUCCAGCCAUACCGCGUGGGUGAAGAAGGCCUUCGGGUUGUAAAGCCCUUUUGUUGGGAAAGAAAAGCAGCAGGUUAAUACCCCGCUGUUCUGACGGUACCCAAAGAAUAAGCACCGGCUAACUUCGUG
rnacentral:rRNA from 1 species